CAAUCCUCAUCACAGAUGUCGUAGAAAUCUAUGGAAGGACAACAGUCACUUUCUGUGAGUAGUGGGGCUCAGAGGAACCUGUCCUUUGAGUUGUCUCAUGAACGCAGGCAUGGGCUACAAGUUCCUGACAUUUCUCACGGCUCAGGACUGUCUCACCGAUGGAGAGAGACCAGCUGCUCCUGGGUCACUUGGUCCAUUCAGAUAACCAAUUCCCAGCUACAGAUCUCAGGCCCGUGGUGAUCAGAGGACUUCAGCCAACUAAACACAUCAGUACAUGCGAGCUAGAUUACUGAGGGCUCUUCCGUACUCAGGAAGGUGAAAAUCCAUCACUUCUAAUCUUAAAAUGUUUUAAUGAAUAAACAUCUAAGAAAUGAGGAACACAA